GACGAACGCUGGCGGCGUGCUUAACACAUGCAAGUCGAACGAAGAGCGACGGAAGCUUGCUUCUAUCAAUCUUAGUGGCGAACGGGUGAGUAACGCGUAAUCAACCUGCCCUUCAGAGGGGGACAGCAGUUGGAAACGACUGCUAAUACCGCAUACGAUCUAACCUCGGCAUCGAGGAUAGAUGAAAGGUGGCCUCUACAUGUAAGCUAUCACUGAAGGAGGGGAUUGCGGCUGAUUCGCUAGAUGGAGGGGUAACGGCCCACCAAGGCGAUGAUCAGUAGCCGGUCUGAGAGGAUGAACGGCCACAUUGGGACUGAGACACGGCCCAGACGCCUACGGGAGGCAGCAGGGGGGAAUCUUCCGCAAGGGACGAAAGACUGACGGAGCAACGCCGCGGGAGGGAUGACGGCCUUCGGGUUGUAAAGCUCUGUUAAUCGGGACGAAAGGCCUUCUUGCGAAUAGUGAGAAGGAUUGACGGUACCGGAAUAGAAAGCCACGGCUAACUACGUG
rnacentral:rRNA from 1 species